rnacentral:ncRNA from 1 species
UCCGGUAGCUCGUUGGGCUCGAUUUUUUAUGGGCUGCAUACAGGGAAACUCGUAUGCGAAAGCCUCUCAAAUUCGGGGAAGCCUUUAACAAUGGUAAUCCCGAGCCAAGCCUUCACAGAUAGUUUAGCUGUGAAAGAAGGUGUAGAGACUUAAUGGGAGGCACCCUAACGGCGGCUUUUUGGCCGUGACGAGGGUGAAGAGAAAGUCCAGACCACAAACUGAUUUUUUC